GACGAACGCUGGCGGCGUGCUUAACACAUGCAAGUCGAACGGAAAGGCCCUGCUUUUGUGGGGUGCUCGAGUGGCGAACGGGUGAGUAACACGUGAGUAACCUGCCCUUGACUUUGGGAUAACUUCAGGAAACUGGGGCUAAUACCGGAUAGGAGCUCCUGCUGCAUGGUGGGGGUUGGAAAGUUUCGGCGGUUGGGGAUGGACUCGCGGCUUAUCAGCUUGUUGGUGGGGUAGUGGCCUACCAAGGCUUUGACGGGUAGCCGGCCUGAGAGGGUGACCGGCCACAUUGGGACUGAGAUACGGCCCAGACUCCUACGGGAGGCAGCAGUGGGGAAUAUUGCACAAUGGGCGGAAGCCUGAUGCAGCAACGCCGCGUGCGGGAUGACGGCCUUCGGGUUGUAAACCGCUUUCGCCUGUGACGAAGCGUGAGUGACGGUAAUGGGUAAAGAAGCACCGGCUAACUACGUGCCAGCAGCCGCGGUGAUACGUAGGGUGCGAGCGUUGUCCGGAUUUAUUGGGCGUAAAGGGCUCGUAGGUGGUUGAUCGCGUCGGAAGUGUAAUCUUGGGGCUUAACCCUGAGCGUGCUUUCGAUACGGGUUGACUUGAGGAAGGUAGGGGAGAAUGGAAUUCCUGGUGGAGCGGUGGAAUGCGCAGAUAUCAGGAGGAACACCAGUGGCGAAGGCGGUUCUCUGGGCCUUUCCUGACGCUGAGGAGCGAGAGCGUGGGGAGCGAACAGGCUUAGAUACCCUGGUAGUCCACGCUGUAAACGGUGGGUACUAGGUGUGGGGUCCAUUCCACGGGUUCCGUGCCGUAGCUAACGCUUUAAGUACCCCGCCUGGGGAGUACGGCCGCAAGGCUAAAACUCAAAGGAAUUGACGGGGCCCCGCACAAGCGGCGGAGCAUGCGGAUUAAUUCGAUGCAACGCGUAGAACCUUACCUGGGUUUGACAUGGAUCGGGAGUGCUCAGAGAUGGGUGUGCCUCUUUUGGGGUCGGUUCACAGGUGGUGCAUGGCUGUCGUCAGCUCGUGUCGUGAGAUGUUGGGUUAAGUCCCGCAACGAGCGCAACCCUUGUUCACUGUUGCCAGCACGUUAUGGUGGGGACUCAGUGGAGACCGCCGGGGUCAACUCGGAGGAAGGUGGGGAUGACGUCAAGUCAUCAUGCCCCUUAUGUCCAGGGCUUCACGCAUGCUACAAUGGCUGGUACAGAGAGUGGCGAGCCUGUGAGGGUGAGCGAAUCUCGGAAAGCCGGUCUCAGUUCGGAUUGGGGUCUGCAACUCGACCUCAUGAAGUCGGAGUCGCUAGUAAUCGCAGAUCAGCAACGCUGCGGUGAAUACGUUCCCGGGGCU
rnacentral:rRNA from 1 species